AUUGAACGCUGGCGGCAUGCCUUACACAUGCAAGUCGAACGGCAGCGGGGGAGGAGCUUGCUUUUCCUGCCGGCGAGUGGCGAACGGGUGAGUAAUACAUCGGAACGUGCCCUGUAGUGGGGGAUAACUAGUCGAAAGAUUCGCUAAUACCGCAUCGGACCUGAGGGUGAAAGUGGGGGUCCGCAAGGCAUCAUGCCAUAGGAGCGGCCGAUGUCUGAUUAGCUAGUUGGUGGGGUAAAGGCCUACCAAGGCGACGAUCAGUAGCUGGUGUGAGAGGACGAUCGGCCACACUGGGUCUGAGACACGGCCCAGACUCCUACGGGAGGCAGCAGGGGGGAAUUUUGGACAAUGGGCGAACGCCUGAUCCAGCAAUGCCGCGUGUGUGAAGAAGGCCUUCGGGUUGUAAAGCACUUUUGUCCGGAAAGAAAUGGCUCUGGUUAAUACCUGGGGUCGAUAACGGUACCGGAAGAAUAAGGACCGGCUAACUACGUGCCAGCCGCCGCGGUAA
rnacentral:rRNA from 1 species